AUUGAACGCUGGCGGCAGGCUUAACACAUGCAAGUCGAGCGAGCGGCGGACGGGUGCGUAAUGUCUGGGUAACUGCCUUAUAGAGGGGGAUAACUACUGGAAACGUUGUCUAAUACCGCAUACGCUCAUAUGUGCCCAUAUGGGAUGAGCUAGUCGGUGGGGUAAUGGCUCACCGAGGCGACGAUCCCUAGCUGGUCUGAGAGGAUGAACGGCCACACUGGGACUGAGACACGGUCCAGACUCCUAAGGGAGGCAGAAGUGGGGAAUAUUGGACAAUGGGCGCAAGCCUGAUUGAGCCAUGCCGCGUGAGUGAAGAAGGCCUUCGGGUUGUAAAGCACUUUCAGCGGAGAAGCGUUACCCGCAGAAGAAGCACCGGCUAACUCCGUGCCAGCAGCCGCGGUAAUUC
rnacentral:rRNA from 1 species